rnacentral:rRNA from 1 species
CCUUGGCGUCUCAGUAGAGUUGAGUCUGGCUCAGGAUGAACGCUAGCUACAGGCUUAACACAUGCAAGUCGAGGGGCAGCAUUGGAGUAGCAAUACUCAGAUGGCGACCGGCGCACGGGUGAGUAACACGUAUCCAACCUGCCGCUUACUCGGGGAUAGCCUUUCGAAAGAAAGAUUAAUACCCGAUGGUAUAAAGAGUUCGCAUGUUCUCUUUAUUAAAGAAUUUCGGUAAGCGAUGGGGAUGCGUUCCAUUAGAUAGUUGGCGGGGUAACGGCCCACCAAGUCUACGAUGGAUAGGGGUUCUGAGAGGAAGGUCCCCCACAUUGGAACUGAGACACGGUCCAAACUCCUACGGGAGGCAGCAGUGAGGAAUAUUGGUCAAUGGACGAGAGUCUGAACCAGCCAAGUAGCGUAGAAGGAUGACUGCCCUAUGGGUUGUAAACUUCUUUUAUAAGGGAAUAAAGUGAGGGACGUGUCCCUUUUUGUAUGUACCUUAUGAAUAAGGAUCGGCUAACUCCGUGCCAGCAGCUGC